CAGUUAUCACAGUACCGGUGCUGUUUUUCAAGAGGUACAGUACUGUGAUAGCUGAA
rnacentral:pre_miRNA from 1 species